CGACCGGCGCACGGGUGAGUAACGCGUAUGUAAUCUACCUGUAACAGAGGGAUAACCCGGAGAAAUCCGGACUAAUACCUCAUAGCACAUAUUAUUCGCAUGAAUUUUAUGUUAAAGAGACUCGGUUACAGAUGAACAUGCGUUCCAUUAGCUAGUCGGCGGGGUUACGGCCCACCAAGGCAACGAUGGAUAGGGGUUCUGAGAGGAAGGUCCCCCACACUGGUACUGAGACACGGACCAG
rnacentral:rRNA from 1 species